rnacentral:lncRNA from 1 species
CUUCUCCGAAAUUCAGACAAUUGAUUUUUCGGCUCCGUAAACAAAUCGACGGCAAUGAAAACUGUAAUUUUACUAAUUGGCUUUGCUCUGUUUGUGACAAUAAUAGAAGCGGCAACAAGAAUGUCUACAGCACCUACCAGACCUUUCUACAGUACGUAUAAGACAUCUACGUUACCAGGAAGAAUAAAGGCCAGAUAUAGAACUACCCCCAAACCACCUGCACGAUCAGCAUAUACAGGUCCAGCAUAUGCUCCAGGUCUAGCUGGAGACACCCCCUAUCUUUCCUGUAAUGAUGCGACUCAACUACGAAGCCUCAAUGGCGAAUGCCGACUAAUUGCUUAAUAGUUCAGGAAAACGCCGAAAAUAAAUUUAUCAGAAGCCAUGGGAAUUGAAUGACAGUAGCUGUAAAUUAAUAUUUAUUAUUAUUGAUCCUGUUCGAAUUAUACAGGGUGAUUCAAAAUUGGCGGCAUUCCUUUUAAGGGGUGAUAGAUGCUUACUUGAAUAUUACGAUAAAAAUAUAGAAACAUUUUUUUUCAAAAAUUUCUAGAAGAUAUUAACAG